CUACACAUGCAAGUCGAGCGGAUGAAGGGAGCUUGCUCCCGGAUUCAGCGGCGGACGGGUGAGUAAUGCCUAGGAAUCUGCCUGGUAGUGGGGGACAACGUUUCGAAAGGAACGCUAAUACCGCAUACGUCCUACGGGAGAAAGCAGGGGACCUUCGGGCCUUGCGCUAUCAGAUGAGCCUAGGUCGGAUUAGCUAGUUGGUGAGGUAAUGGCUCACCAAGGCGACGAUCCGUAACUGGUCUGAGAGGAUGAUCAGUCACACUGGAACUGAGACACGGUCCAGACUCCUACGGGAGGCAGCAGUGGGGAAUAUUGGACAAUGGGCGAAAGCCUGAUCCAGCCAUGCCGCGUGUGUGAAGAAGGUCUUCGGAUUGUAAAGCACUUUAAGUUGGGAGGAAGGGUUGUAGAUUAAUACUCUGCAAUUUUGACGUUACCGACAGAAUAAGCACCGGCUAACUCUGUGCCAGCAGCCGCGGUAAUACAGAGGGUGCAAGCGUUAAUCGGAAUUACUGGGCGUAAAGCGCGCGUAGGUGGUUCGUUAAGUUGGAUGUGAAAUCCCCGGGCUCAACCUGGGAACUGCAUCCAAAACUGGCGAGCUAGAGUAUGGUAGAGGGUGGUGGAAUUUCCUGUGUAGCGGUGAAAUGCGUAGAUAUAGGAAGGAACACCAUUGGCGAAGGCGACCACCUGGACUGAUACUGACACUGAGGUGCGAAAGCGU
rnacentral:rRNA from 1 species